rnacentral:misc_RNA from 1 species
UGAGCGAGCAAUACGGUGCGUUUAGGGAGCCGCACUUGAAGGGGGCAGGUAACGGGAAAGGUAGCUGGAGAAGGCCGUUUAUAACUCAUUUCACGGGGUGCCAGCCAUGCAGUGGGGAUCACAACAAGAUGUACGAAGGAGACAGUUGCUGGAAAGGGAUGGUGAGAGCCUUGAAUUUUGCAGAUAACCAAGUGCUGAGGAAAUAUGGGUUUGUACACCCGGAUUUGCUGGAUUCCAAAACGGUGGUGGAGACGCCGUUUGAUUACCCUGAUGAGGGUCCAUGGUAAAAAUGUGAGAAAUACAGUAUAAGGAAUAGUAAAAGGUUAAAUUUUCUAGAUAAAGUGACUUUUCCAGUUGAAGAGAUAUGCUUUGUGAAUUUGU